rnacentral:rRNA from 1 species
GAUGAACGCUAGCUACAGGCUUAACACAUGCAAGUCGGAGGGGCAGCACGGUGUAGCAAUACGACGGGUGGCGACCGGCGCACGGGUGCGUAACGCGUAUCCAACUUUCCCGUUACUCUCGGAUAGCCUUCCGAAAGGGAGAUUAAUACGAGAUGGUGUUGAAAUUCCGCAUGUUAUUUCAACUAAAGAUUUAUCGGUAACGGAUGGGGAUGCGUGACAUUAGAUAGUAGGCGGGGUAACGGCCCACCAUGGCGACGAUGUCUAGGGGUUCUGAGAGGAAGGUCCCCCACACUGGAACUGAGACACGGUCCAGACUCCUACGGGAGGCAGCAGGUGGGGAAUAUUGCACAAUGGGCGAAAGCCUGAUGCAGCAACGCCGCGUGAGCGAUGAAGGCCUUCGGGUCGUAAAGCUCUGUCCUCAAGGAAGAUAAUGACGGUACUUGAGGAGGAAGCCCCGGCUAACUACGUG